rnacentral:rRNA from 1 species
CGACUCUCGGCAACGGAUAUCUUGGCUCUCGCAUCGAUGAAGAACGUAGCGAAAUGCGAUACUUGUGUGAAGUGCAGAAUCCCGUGAACCAUCGAGUCUUUGAACGCAAGUUGCGCCCGAAGCCAUUAGGCCGAGGGCACGUCUGCCUGGGUGUCAAA